AAGAGAAUUUAUACCUCAGCGUAAGUUUUAAAACAGGAAAGAUCCUGGCUAGAUCAUUCCGUCGCUGAGUCACUGCCUGUCAUCAUUCAGUGUCAGUUACGUAUAAGAAAGAGUACAAAUCAAAGACAUUCAGUAGGUUAUUGCACUGAGCAUGUGUGUGUGUGUUCAAUCCAACGCUGUCAUGUCAGGUUAUUGCACUGACUGUGUGUGUGUGUGUGUGUGUGUGUGUGUGUGACUGUGUGUGUGAGACUGUGUGUUCAAUCCAACGCUGUCAUGUCAGAUUAUUGCACUGACUGUGUGUUCAAUCCAAUGCUGUCAUGUCAGGUUGCCACAAUAUGGACUGUGUGAAUAAUACACUUUACAAUCA